ensembl:lncRNA SERHL serine hydrolase like (pseudogene)
GGAACAGCCUAGAAGCAGGGCCUGGAACUGCAGGAUACACUCCCCUCCUGCUACCUAGGCAGGCGUGAGGGUGUGACGGCCGCGCAUUCGCCAGACGAGAGCGAUGGCUGAGAACGCCGCACCAGGUCUGAUCUCAGAGCUGAAGCUGGCUGUGCCCUGGGGCCACAUCGCAGCCAAAGCCUGGGGCUCCCUGCAGGGCCCUCCAGUUCUCUGCCUGCACGGCUGGCUGGACAAUGCCAGCUCCUUCGACAGACUCAUCCCUCUUCUCCCGCAAGACUUUUAUUACGUUGCCAUGGAUUUCGGAGGUCAUGGGCUCUCGUCCCAUUACAGCCCAGGUGUCCCAUAUUACCUCCAGACUUUUGUGAGUGAGAUCCGAAGAGUUGUGGCAGCCUUGAAAUGGAAUCGAUUCUCCAUUCUGGGCCACAGCUUCGGAAAUGGAGAACUUGCUGACCUACAAGCGGAGAGCCAUAGAGCACGUGCUGCAGGUAGAGGCCUCCCAGGAGCCCUCGCACGUGUUCAGCCUGAAGCAGCUGCUGCAGAGGCAGAGAACAGCAUUGACUUCGUCAGCAGGGAGCUGUGUGCGCAUUCCAUCAGGAAGCUGCAGGCCCAUGUCCUGUUGAUCAAAGCAGUCCACGGAUAUUUUGAUCCAAGAGAGAAUUACUCUGACAAGGAGUCCCUGUCGUUCAUGAUAGACACAAUGAAAUCCACCCUCAAAGAGGACUACUUCGGAUACAAUCACAGCAACCCUGGCCUCGGCCCUGCCCUGUCCCUGCCAUGCAACUUCACAACUCAGCUGGCCUAGACCCCUGGGAGGCCUCCAAGUCCCUAAGCGGUUCCAGUUUGUGGAAGUCCCAGGCAAUCACUGUGUCCACAUGAGCGAACCCCAGCACGUGGCCAGUAUCAUCAGCUCCUUCUUACAGUGCACACACACGCUCCCAGCCCAGCUGUAGCUCUGGGCCUGGAACUAUGAAGACCUAGUGCUCCCAGACUCAACACUGGGACUCUGAGUUCCUGAGCCCCACAACAAGGCCAGGGAUGGUGGGGACAGGCCUCACUAGUCUUGAGGCCCAGCCUAGGAUGGUAGUCAGGGGAAGGAGCGAGAUUCCAACUUCAACAUCUGUGACCUCAAGGGGGAGACAGAGUCUGGGUUCCAGGGCUGCUGUCUCCUGGCUAAUAAUCUCCAGCCAGCUGGAGGAAGGAAGGGCGGGCUGGGCCCACCUAGCCUUUCCCUGCUGCCCAACUGGAUGGAAAAUAAAAGGUUCUUGUAUUCUCA